GGAGUCCCUCCUCUAAAAGCACUCUGUGUGGGGAACAUGAGAGCCAGACCAAAGCUCAGAGGAACCAGCCUGGACCUCCACCCAGCUCUGUGUCCUCUAAGAGUGACCGGUCUAAAGGUGGUGAUAUUAACUUUAAAUCAGACGUGUGUGGUCCUGCAGAGAGGUAAUGUGUGUGUAAAUGUUGUUGUGACUCAGUGUUUGUGAAUAAAUCCUCCAUCAUGUUUAAUGUCAGCUCUGUUUCACACACAUGUUCAUAUGUGCAGCGGUGUGUGUUGGAGUGUUUCCACAAACACAGCAGAUACUCAGAGAUUAUUUUUAGGAAGGGGAGAUGUUCUCAAACUCUCUGUCCUGAAACUCUUCACUCAGUCUGAUCCCCACUUCCUGCUCCUCAGCAGUGCUGCCAUGUUCAUGAACCAGGACAGAAAUGAA